CUAUGACCACUGCAAAUCAGUGAAGUGGCCACGGUGCUUGGAGUAAUCUAUUAAGUAAUGAGCUUCCAAUAAGUGUAGGAAAUGUAACAAAUGUCUGUUUAAUAUUAUACAGUAUAUUGGGAAUUAAUAUGUGGCAGAAAUAAAGGCUUAAAAUGAAAUGGAAUCACAAAAUACAUUUUUCGAUUUUCUUUUUUGGGUUGAGUGCAAUGUAUCUAAAUAUACUGUUGAAUAAGUG